GGGGGAGUAGAUCAGUGGUAGAGCUCCCGCUUUGUAUGCGAGAAGACCUGCGUUCGAUUCUCGGCUGCUUCC
rnacentral:tRNA from 1 species